rnacentral:rRNA from 1 species
GACGAACCGUGCGACCGUUGUUCGGAAUCACUGGGUUUAAAGGGCGCGUAGGCGGGCUGUCAAGUCGGUGGUGAAAUCUUUCGGCUCAACCGGAAAAUUGCCUUCGAUACUGGCGGCCUGGAGGGAGGUAGGGGCAUGCGGAACUUCCGGUGGAGCGGUGAAAUGCGUAGAUAUCGGAAGGAACACCGAUGGCGAAAGCAGCGUGCUGGACCUUUUCUGACGCUGAGGCGCGAAGGCCAGGGGAGCAAACGGG